rnacentral:rRNA from 1 species
UAGGGAAUAUUGCAAAAUGGGCGAAAGCCCGAUGCAGCAACGCCGCGUGGGCGAUGAAGGCCUUCGGGUCGUAAAGCCCUUUUUGAGGGGAUGAGGAAGGACAGUACCCUCAGAAUAAGCCUCGGCUAACUACGUGCCAGCAGCCGCGGUAAAACGUAGGAGGCGAGCGUUAUCCGGAUUUACUGGGCGUAAAGCGCGUGCAGGCGGAUUGGAGAGUUGGAUGUGAAAGCUCCCGGCUUAACUGGGAGAGGUCGUUCAAUACUUCCAGACUUGAGUGCAGUAGAGGGAAGUGGAAUUCCGGGUGUAGUGGUGAAAUUCGUAGAUAUCCGGAGGAACACCAGUGGCGAAAGCGGCCUCCUGGACUGUAACUGACGCUCAGACGCGAAAGCUAGGGUAGCAAACG